rnacentral:rRNA from 1 species
UGCCUACGGGGGGCAGCAGUGAGGAAUAUUGGUCAAUGGGAGGGAUCCUGAACCAGCCAAGCCGCGUGAGGGAAGACGGCCCUAUGGGUUGUAAACCUCUUUUGUCGGAGAACAAAACCCGGGACGUGUCCCGGACUGCGUGUAUCCGAAGAAAAAGCAUCGGCUAACUCCGUGCCAGCAGCCGCGGUAAUACGGAGGAUGCGAGCGUUAUCCGGAUUUAUUGGGUUUAAGGGGUGCGUAGGCGGUCCGUUAAGUCAGCGGUAAAAUUGCGGGGCUCAACCCUGUCGAGCCGUUGAAACUGGCAG